UACGUAGGGGGCUAGCGUUGUCCGGAAUCAUUGGGCGUAAAGAGCGCGUAGGCGGCCAGAUAAGUCCGGUGUGAAAGUCACAGGCUCAACCUGUGAAUGCCGCUGGAAACUGUCUGGCUAGAGUCCGGAAGGGGCGAGUGGAAUUCCUGGUGUAGCGGUGAAAUGCGCAGAUAUCAGGAGGAACACCAAUUGCGAAGGCAGCUCGCUGGGACGUUACUGACGCUGAGACGCGAAAGCGUGGGGAGCAAACAGG
rnacentral:rRNA from 1 species